rnacentral:rRNA from 1 species
GUGUCAGCAGCCGCGGUAAUACGAAGGGGGCUAGCGUUGUUCGGAAUUACUGGGCGUAAAGCGUAUGCAGGCGGAUCGUUAAGUCGGGGGUGAAAUCCCGAGGCUCAACCUCGGAACUGCCUUCGAUACUGGCGAUCUUCGAGUCCGGGAGAGGUGAGUGGAACUCCGAGUGUAGAGGUGAAAUUCGUAGAUAUUCGGAAGAACACCAGUGGCGAAGGCGGCUCACUGGCCCGGUACUGACGCUGAGAUACGAAAGCGUGGGGAGCAAACAGGAUUAGAAACCCUCGUAGUCC